rnacentral:sRNA from 1 species
CAGCUCAUGCAUCCGCCGGUCAGCGAGGUUUCGCCCACCGGCGUUUUUGGC